CUGCUCGCUUCGGCAGCACAUAUAUUAAAAUGGGAACAAUACAAAGAAGAUGAGCAUCGUCUCUGCGCAAGGAUUACACGCAAAGCCACGAAGCAUUCCAUAUUUUU